GCCUUAGUAGUAUAAAAAUUACACUGGUCUUGUAAACCAAAAAUGGGGUGUUACUCCCCCUAAGACA
rnacentral:tRNA from 1 species